ensembl:lncRNA
UAAUGACACACGGCAGUGAAUGGAAUAGUUUCUCCUCGCUUUCUGGUUGUUGACGGUGGUUUUGUCAUUCCAAAGCUUGAAUGAGAUCAUCGGCAGAGACAUGUCCCAGUCCCCUGGUGGCGGUGCCCAGUCGUAGCGCUUUCCGUGGCCAGGCCUCCACACACCCAGCUGGGCAUAGCAGUGUCCUCACCAGCCCCAACACCACCACCUCCACCACAGGACUUUACCUGCCUCUAGGCAGGACAGACUGGGCUGAGAUUCCCCUUUACACUUCAUGGCCCUACCAGUCCACAAAAAGACCCUCCAGACACACAUGAACAAACCUUUCAUAUACCCACAUGGCAGCAAAAAAGCUCAGAUUCACCCACCUACACAUGUAUACAUCAGAUUAUAAACAGGAGAACACCACAGGGUGGUGACAAACUAGGAUUAUUGGGGUCAGUGAGUGGCAGAAAGACGAGGAACAUGUUCUCUGUUCAGUUGACUUCGGGUUCAUUUUUAGCAUUAGUUCUCAGUCCUGGGCUCAGAUACCCAGAGGUGAUCACUGGUUUAGAUAGUGAUCACCUCCUAAACGGUUUCUAUGCAGCUAAACUCUCUGUUCAGGGUGUUUGGUUGGAGUAUGUAAUAUACCCUCUCAAGUCACAAUGUUGUCCCUAACAGUGUAGUGUUCAGUGAGGAAAAAUAGGAUCCCUCAGUAGGAAUAAAGAAGGGUUGAAUACUGUACUCAUGAUUUUCUCACCAGCAUAGACCUCGACAGUACAAACACCCGGUUGGUUGAGCACCCCCUGGGAGUGUAGAGGUAGUACUGCAGCCCCACUGUGACACCCCAUCACCCUUGUCCUUCUUGUCGUCUCUGGUCUCUGGGUGCCUGGGAGCCCCUUCUCUUCUUCUCUGGUGCUGGACUGGGAUCUAUAAUAUGCAACAUUCCACACUUCUAGUGACCUUCCAGCCAUGUAGAUAUAGUGCCUUCAGAAAGUGUUCACACCCCUUGACUUUUUCCACAUUUUGUUGUGGUACAGCAUGAAUUUCAAAUAUAUUAAAUGUAGACGUUUUUGUCGCUGGCCUACACGCAAUAACCAAUAAUGUCAAAGUGGACUUGUGUUUUCAGAAUUGUUUAUAAAUUCAUAAAAAAUAAAAAGCUGAAAUGUCUUGAGUCAAUAAGUAUUCAACCCCUUUGUUAGGACAAACCUAAAUAAGUUCAGGAGUAAAAAUGUGCUGAACAAGUCACAUAAGUUGCAUGGACUCUCUGUGUGCAAUAAUAGUGUUCAACAUGAUUUUUGAAUGACUAUCUCAUCUCUGUACCCCACCCAUAAAAUGAUCUGUCAAGCAGUGAAUUUCAAACACAGAUUCAACCACAAAGACCAGGGAGUUUUUCCAAUGCCUCGCAAAGGGCACCUAUUGGUAAAUAGGUUUUUAAAAAAGCAGAUAUUGAGCAUAUCCCUUUGAGCAUGGAGAAGUUAUUAAUUAUAUUUUAGAUGGUGUAUCAAUACACCCAGUCACUACAAAGAUACAGGCGUCCUUCCUAACUCAGUUGCCAGAGAGGAAGGAAACGGCUUAGGGAUUUCACCAUGAGGCCAAUGGUCACUUUAAAACAGUUACAGAAUUUAAUGUCUGUGAUAGGAGAAAACAGGAUGAAUCAACAACAUUGUAGUUACUCCACAAUACUAACCUAAUUGACAGAGUGAUAAGAAGGAAGCCUGUACAGAAUACAAAUAUUCCAAAACAUGCAUCCUGUUUGCAACAAGGCACUAAAGUAAUACACAAAAACAUUUGGCAAAGCGAUUAACUUUUUGUUCUGAGUACAAAGUGUUAUGUACUCUCCAUGUGUUCAAGCAUAGUGAUGGCUGCAUCAUGUUAUGUGUAUGCUUGUAAUCGAUAAGGACUGGAGAUAUUUUUAAAUUAAACAAUAAGCAGAAUGGAGCACAGGCAAAAUUCUAGAGGGAAAUUUGGUUCAUUCUGCUUUCCACCAGACACUGGGAGGUGAAUUCACUUUUCAGCAGGACAAUAACUUAAAACACAAGGCCUAAUCUACACUGAAGUUGCUUACCAAGAAGACAGUGGAUGUUCCUGAUUGGCCAAAUUACAAUUUUGACUUAAAUCUGCUUGAAAAUCUAUGGCAAGACCUGAAAAUGGUUGUCUACCUAUGAUCAACAUCCAAUUUGACAGAGCUUGAAGAAUUUAAUGGGCAAAUGUUUCACAAUCCAGGUGUGCAAAGCUCUUAGAGACUUACCCAGAAAGACUCACAGCUCUAAUCACUGCUUAAGGUGCUUCUAUAAAGUAUUGACUCAGGGGUGUGAAUACUUAUGUAAAUGAGAUUUCUGUAUUUCAUUUUCAAUAAAUUAGCAAACAUUUAUAAAAACAUGUUUUUACUGUCAUUAUGGGUUAUUGUGUGUAGAUGGUUGAGAUGUAAAAAAAUAUAUAUUUAAUCAAUUGUACCACAACAAAAGGUGGAAUAAGUCCAAGGGUAUGAAUACCUUCUGAAGCCACUGUAUCUGUGUAUUAUUACUACUCUCCUCCUGACUCCCCAAACCUCCUCUUUAGGUUGAACAAAUGCCUUUAUAAGCCUUGUUAAAUAGCAGCUUUGAAUGAUAGGAUGGUAAACACUUUUGUUGUUUGUUUGCACAGCUGACUCUUCAUGCAGAGUAUGACUUUGAUUUUUAUAGAAAUUAGAUGGAUUUCUGAGUUUGUGAUAUGGAGAGCUUGAUAUUCGAUGAAUAUAAUGUUUUAUGCGAUGGAUAGAUGAACACUGGUUUUCUCCAGACCGAGGUAGCCCAUUAAGACAAGUAAAUAUAUAUAUAUUUGUAACUGUAAGUAGACUCGUUGGAGUUUAAUUAAAGGUGGUGUUUGAAUUAUCCACAGAGCAAGACGGACCUGUGUUCCUCUGAGCUCUGUCAUGCAAUAACUAAAGUGCGUCUGAAAUGGCACCUUAUUCCCUGUAUAGUGCACUACUUUUGGCCAGCAUACUGGUCAAAAGUAGGGCACUAUACAGGGAAUCGGGUGUAAGUGUGGAUGCACACUAACUGUCUUGAUGUCCUGGGCCCAGUUUUUCAAAACUUUUAAUCUGGAUAAGAAUGAUCCGGAUCCUGUAAUCCUUUUUUGCAAUCAGGAUCAGAUUGAUCUGGCUGUUUUUGGGCCAGUUUUUCAGAAAAUAAUCAGACAGGAUCAUUCUGAUCCACAACAUGAAGAUCACAGAAUCCAGAUUGUCAGUGCUUUCAACAGGCCUACACCUUUCCAUCUAGUGGACAGGUUAUGGUACUACUACACUGUCAUAGGGAAACAGAGAUGAGUAAACUACAUGAAUAAAGGUAACUAUAUGACAAAUAAUAGAGCCAGCAUAUCACCUAUAGGUAAGUACAUGCAUUUAUUUCACACUUCUCAAUAUAACAACUGACCACACACUUAAUACUGCUGUCAAUUUAACGUAAUGAACCUUUCCUUUUCAGAUGUAAGAAUGUUUUUAGUUACAUUGAAAUGUAUUGGUUGUGGUGCUUUUCACCUUUCUAAAUCCACCCUGAAUACACCCUUCCAGUGGGAUCAAGAUAAUCCAGAUUUUAGGCAUCAAAACUAUCAUCAUCACUACCUUUUAGGAGUAAAAAAAAAUGCAAAAACUACAUUUAAUCCCGAUUUAAUGGUCAGAUUGAAUUACCAAAUCUGGAGGAUCAGAAUAAUUUUGUUUUCUUUUGAAAAACCCAAUUCUAUCAUGUCAUUUUAUCCGAUUGCAGAAAUCCGAUCAGAUAACUUUUGAAAAACUGGGCCCAGAGACUCUGCCUUCAACUUUGUAACAACCAUACCUUCUGAGGGUAAAGCAGCUUCAAUCCACAUACUAUUGGAAAUAAUAUAACACAUUGAAAACUGCAGAUUUAAACUGUUGAUAAAAGUAUUUUAUACAUAGUCAUUUAUAUAUAUUGUAUUUAUGUAUAGCCCCCCCUCCAUCACCUCUGAUGAACAAGGUUAAGUUUGUUUUAAAAAACGAUUUCCAUUUUUGUAUGUUGUUGGUUCUUCCAGGCCCCCUGUGUGUUGCACAUCACGACAAUCACGACAAAUGAUAAUUUUGUCUUCAGGGUGGUACCUUAACAAAAAUAUGUAUUUGUCAAUCUUCCUCCUUGGGGAGACAUACAGACUGCGAAUGUAUGGAAUAUUGAUAGCAAUAAUAAAAAGAUUUUCAGUUUGCCUGAGAAUUACAACAACAAAAGGUCCAAACAAAAUGACAAAGUUGAGUGUUAAAAAGCAACAUAUUCCAGUCCAACAUCAUCAUAAGGAUGUUUACAGAAUGUGAUUCUGAAUGCUGGAUAGAUGUAUGUACGUAUGUAUGCCAUACAUUACUUAGCCAUGCUGUAAUAUAACAUGUUGAUUGGUCUGGGUAGGAACAACUCCUAUUGCCUUAACAUGUUCUCUGUGAUUGGACAAUGAUAUAUGUAUAUUCUUGCAUGUACAUUUUUUUUCUCUGAGAGGAUGUUGCUAAUGACAACUGUCCAAGUCCAGUGAGAAAUAGAAAAUAAUUCUGUUAUACACAAAAAACCUGCCUGAUGCCUUUAAAAAAAAGUUUUAAAAACGUUUUAAAAAAGAACCUUGAUGCCUAUAGUUGUAGAUGCAGCAGAGAUGCUUGGUUCUGUUACUUCAAGGCUCCGUUUACACAGGUAGUCCAAUUCUGAUAUUUUUCUCACUAAUCAGAUCAGCUCUGAUAAAGUUCUGUGAUUGGUGUAAGAACCAAUUAGUGGACAAAUAUCAGAAUUGGGCUGCCUGUAUAAACACAGCCUUCUAGAGUAUCAGCACAAUACUUAUUAGUCCUGCAUACCAGAGGGCCAGUCAGUGAAUCUGCCUUGUAAAGGACACAGUACAAGCGUCUUAGUAGAUUAUAUUAAGUGUGUGUGUGUGUGUGUGGAUGUGUGCGUUUGUACCCAAUAAACUGUAGAUAAGUGUUUUUUUUUACAAUGAAUUUCAGUUCUGUACAAUACAAGCACACAUAUGUAUUAGGCUACUAUGCAAACCAUGACGAAAGCAUCAUGACAACGUGAUAUUUGGCAUCAAGUACAAAAUAACUGGUUUGUUUAUAAUAAUCUCUCGUGGUUUUUGUUUUAUGUGUAAAACAUUUUCAAAUAGUGAGGAGAGAAUGUCACUAUUUGUUUAUUUAAACUAUAGGAAGGCCUUAACUCAUGUGUUGAAUAUGAAUUACUGUUGUCAUGCUCUUCUGGGUUAAUAAUUUACUUGAGAAUAUACAUUUUGGACAGCAGGACGUUAGUUACAAGAGGAAAGGCUGGCUCUGGUGCUGCUUGUGAGACUGUUACCUGAUUCACAGUAUAGAGCUGAUCAGAACCGUACUGUGCUGGCUUGGAUGUUUCAUUUUCACAUGGUCCUUUCCAGCACAGUUCCAGCACUAUGUAGAUGCGUAAACAGGGCAGCCCAGUACAGCUCGGCUUGGCGCAGCUUGGCUCUAUAGUGUGAAUGAGGCAUAUGAGUCCAGAAACAAGAGCAGCAUUAAAUUCAGUAACCGUUCGCUCUCUGCCAUCCUCUUCUGUAAAACCAAAGAUAAACAAUAUGUUCCCAUUUUACAUACUGGUAAAAGGCAACACAGACUGACAUUAGAACUCUAUUUUUGAUACUUUGAAAUGGAUGUCAUUCCUAACGGUUGGGUGCAUAUAUCUAUAAAUAUAUGUUUUGUAAAAGGAAAGGGAAAUACAGGUUUGAGCUGAUGUUUACAGGAACCUUGUAUUGUACAUUUUGUAUUUUAAAACCAUUUUGUAAUUGAAGACUGCAGUGCUUUUUGAAUGUAUUCAAAGGGAAUACCUUGCAUUUAGGCUCUUACAGUAGUGUAUCAAUAAAAAUACAAAUGUCAAACUGUG